ACCGAUAGCGAACAAGUACCGUGAGGGAAAGAUGAAAAGCACUUUGGAAAGAGAGUUAAACAGUACGUGAAAUUGUUGAAAGGGAAACGAUUGAAGUCAGUCAUGCUCUUGGGACUUACCUCCCUUGAGUGGGGUCAACAUCAGUUUUGAUCGAUGGAUAAAGGCACUAGGAAGGUAGCACCCUCGGGUGAACUUAUAGCCUAGCGUCAUAUACAUUGAUUGGGACUGAGGAACGCAGCAUGCCUUUAUGGCCGGGAUUCGUCCACGUACAUGCUUAGGAUGUUGACAUAAUGGCUUUAAACGACCCGUCUUGAAACACGGACCAAG
rnacentral:rRNA from 1 species